rnacentral:misc_RNA from 1 species
GGAAUAUUGGCGUGAAGCAUAUAACUAGCAAACAGCUUCUACUCUUUUAUAUUUCACAUCUUUUUCUUCUUUUGCAUCAAGAAACUCCCUACGACAGCCAUGCUACUUGCACAUGGAAUGUAAAGUUAAAGGAAAAGGAAAAGAUUAAACAAUAAACAACGAGAAAAGAAAAGAAAAGAAAAUGCCUCAGGAAAGAAUCUACUGAUGAGCUUGAAUUUUCCUGCUUUCUUGUUUUCUUUUUCAAAUUUGUUUGUGUGUCUCUCUUUUGGCUAUGUACAUGAUCAGUGCCUAAAGUACGCUUCAGAAGUCANNNNNNNNGGGUUCUCCAAUUGUCAAGUUUCUCUCUACCGACCAAGGCAGGUUGAAGAGCUUUGCCAUGAUAAAUUUGAAUAUCUUGUUCACAUUUAUAUUAUGUUUAGCACUUGAAAAGAAAAGGGUCGCCUUCAUUGCCUUGGCAUAUGCCCUUGCCUGAGUCACUAUUGGCCACUGCAAAUUGUGGGGAAGCCGGACGAAAUCGUCAAAC